rnacentral:rRNA from 1 species
CCUACGGGAGGCAGCAGUGAGGAAUAUUGGUCAAUGGCCGGAAGGCUGAACCAGCCAUGCCGCGUGAAGGUCAGUGCCCCAUGGGCGUUAAACUUCUUUUGUGCGGGAGCAAUAAUGGUCACGUGUGGCCAGACGAGAGUACCGGACGAAUAAGCAUCGGCUAACUCCGUGCCAGCAGCCGCGGUAAUACGGGGGAUGCAAGCGUUAUCCGGAUUUAUUGGGGUUAAAGGGUGCGUAGGCUGUGAGGUAAGUCAGCGGUGAAAUGCCCCCGCUCAACGGGGUGAAGGGCCAUUGAUACUGCCUUGCUGGAAUGCGGAUGCCGUGGGAGGAAUGUGUGGUGUAGCGGUGAAAUGCAUAGAUAUCACACAGAACACCGAUUGCGAAGGCAUCUCACGAAUCCGCGAUUGACGCUGAUGCACGAAAGCGUGGGUAUCAAACAGGAUUAGAUACCCGGGUAGUC